rnacentral:rRNA from 1 species
AGUGAACGCUGGCGGUAGGCCUAACACAUGCAAGUCGAACGGCAGCACAGUAAGAGCUUGCUCUUACGGGUGGCGAGUGGCGGACGGGUGAGGAAUACAUCGGAAUCUACUUUUUCGUGGGGGAUAACGUAGGGAAACUUACGCUAAUACCGCAUACGACCUACGGUUGAAAGCAGGGGAUCUUCGGACCUUGCGCGAUUGAAUGAGCCGAUGUCGGAUUAGCUAGUUGGCGGGGUAAAGGCCCACCAAGGCGCCGAUCCGUAGCUGGUCUGAGAGGAUGAUCAGCGACACUGGAACUGAGACACGGUCCAGACGACUACGGGAGGCAGCAGUGGGGAAUAGUGGACAAAGGGCGCAAGCCUGAUCCAGCCAUACCGCGUGGGUGAAGAAGGCCUUCGGGUUGUAAAGCCCUUUUGUUGGGAAAGAAAAGCAGCAGGUUAAUACCCCGCUGUUCUGACGGUACCCAAAGAAUAAGCACCGGCUAACUUCGUG